AGCCUCUGCAACUUCUCUGUGAAACUUUAACUCUUUUAGUGCUCGGAUAAGACUUGCAGACCUCCAAUCUUCCUUUGAAUGAAAGGGAAAAACAGAAGAGAUAGAAAGUCAGUGAAACAAGAGCUAAGUUUCUUUAGAGGAAAGGAGAAUGAGGAGAUGUUGUGAAGAUGGCUGAAAAUCCUUUUGUGAGCUGAAGGGUAGACUGUACUGCACUGAAAAUUCCUAUUAACCAUGGAGAAAGACAUGGGGGGUUGGAGUGUUUGUGAAAAAAUCCUUU